rnacentral:rRNA from 1 species
GUGAACGCUAGCGGCGCGCCUAACACAUGCAAGUUGAAUGGGUUUAGACCCAUAGCAAACGGCUGCGUAACACGUUGGAACCUGCCCCGAACUCAGGGAUAACCCCGCGAAAGCGGGGGUAAUACCGGAUGCCCUCGCAAGAGGAAAGAUUUAUCGGUUCGGGGGGGGCCUGCGGCCUAUCAGUUAGUUGGUUAGGUAACGGCUCACCAAGACAAUGACGGGUAGCUGGUCUGAGAGGACGACCAGCCAGAAUGGAACUGCGACACGGUCCGUACUCCUACGGGAGGCAGCAGUGAGGAAUCUUCCGCAAUGGACGAAAGUCUGACGGAGCGACGCCGCGUGGUGGAUGAAGGCCUUUACUGGUCGUAAACACCUGUUCUGAGGGACGAAAUUUUUGACGGUACCUCAGGAGAAAGUAUCGGCAAACCCUGU